AAAGUAAUAAUCAGCUUUACUUUAUUAUCGAUGUUUAAUAAAAUUGGAUAUAUAAAAUGGUGCACAAUGAAAUAUGAAGCAGGUUGUGCCUCUUUUUUCGCCCGGUGCAACGCACGGGCAUUUGUACUAGUCUAUAUCUAUACUUACUAUUAAAAGACCAAACAUUACUUUCCCUACGUCCACACCGGAAAGUGCACACGGGAUAACCCCCCACGUCCGAUCAAACCCACUUAGUUACAUCCAACUGUCCAUGUUACAUCCAGCAAACUACAAUCAGAUCUACGGUUCAAAAGAAAUGUUCUGCCGGCAGACUCUCCCGUCCAGGAUGCUACAGAGCCCAACGAUGACCCCUCCAGGGAAUUUAACAUACCUCCACAAUCAACGCAGCCACCAUACCACAAAACUCCACGAUCAACGCCAGCAUCAGUCCACGAACCUCGCCUCGGCCAUCAGCCCCGCCUCGCUCGGCCAGCCGCCCCGCCGUCCUCGCCCCUGGUCUCCGCGACGUCCUCGACCCGCUGGACAUCCUCCACCCAACUUGCUGCCUCUCCUCACCCCGGCAUCUUCGCGAUGCCGCCCUCGCCCCAGGUGCCCGCGACGUCCUCCACCCGGUGGACGGCCUCCAGCCGGCGUGCUGCCCUACCUCCGGUGUCAUCACCCCUGCCAGUGCACAGGUUAGAUCAGAUUAAUUUGCAAGGUGGAAGAUGAGGCAAAAGAUAGAUGUAAUUGCUCUUUUAAUCUGACAUUCUAUAAUUUGUACUCUAAAAUGUCAUACUUAAAGUACAAUCAUGAUCAACAUGUCAAACUGAGUUGCCGAAGGGUUGAAAUUCACAAAAAAAAUCAUUGAGAAGACAAUAUGGCAUCUUCUCAGCGUAGUGGAGUACGUACUCCCUUUCAGGAUGUGACAAACAAUAGCAAUUCAGGUAAAUAUACAGUUAUCACCUACUCUUGCCUACUUAUAUCUUGUAAAUCCAGCAUAUGUCAUUGCCCCGCAGGUCAACCAACAGAUCCAAAAGAGCGGAAGAGACAAAGGGAAAGGGAGAGGUAUGCACUAAAUAGGGAUGCAAUAUUAAAAAAACGACAAGAGGCAAGGGAUCAUAAGAAGGCUACCACCGCUAUUGUAACUGGAACCAACACUCCAUCAAAGCCAUCCGGGGCCAUGUCACCUGGUUACUCCAUUUUACCUGUCCUUUAUCAUGCAUGUCGUGAAUGACAAGUAAAAUCAUGUUGAUUAAGUGUUAUUUCUGACAGAUUUAGACACUGUGGAGAGGCCAAGUGUGCAGUCUGUUGUCACUCACCAACAGCACACAACAGCCACUGAAGGUCAUGUGUUGUCCUACAACUGAUAUUUGUGUGUCACCCACCGGCGUUUGUGUGUCAACAACUGAUAUUGUACAUACAAUUAUGAUGCAGGCAUACCUGUUGAUGUGAUAAUGAGUGAUCUAACUCAACUUCAUGGUCCAGCUUCAUUAAGAACACCAGAUACAGCCGUUUCUAACAAAGAAAAUGUCAACAAUUUUGACUCUGGCAUUGGGUCCUCCCAACUGACUGUGUUACGACCGCCACUUCAAGCCUACAGAGGAAGCAAUUCAUAUGGUAGUCAAUUGUGGCUCAUAUUAACUAUCAUAUCGAGUAAAAAACAAUGGUUGUUCAAUUUGUCUUAUACCUAAUUAUCACUUGAUAUACAGAAGCAAAACAAGCACUCAAGAGGCAGAGGGAAAAUGCCAGGUAUGAGCAACAUAAGCAAGGGAUAUUGCAAAGCCUACGUGACAAGCGGAGGCGAUCCAAAUCGUCAACAAUAGUCCUUACAGCUGGAGAACAAAAUCAAUCCGAAACAGGUGAUGCACAGUACAUAAAACACUUUUUAUCCAAACUUUGAUUUCCUAACUGACAGCCACUCAAUGUUUCUGUAGCCGAUGAAGAUUGUGAUUGGCUACACACAAAUGAUACGUAUCGGAUACAAAACUCUCGAAGGAGGAUGAGCCCAGACAACAUACUUACUGCGCCGUCAUGUGGACACAAUCCCAUCGACACUUAUAAUGGUGCUUUAAUUGACUACUACUUGGUUCAUUCCUUUCAUUCAUCGCUCAGUCUUGCCCAUUUUACAAGCUGAAUAUUCUGUCAGGCAACGGCCACGACAAUGAUGCAUAUGGAAUACUGGAGCCGGAUGGCAACACAAACAAUAUUGAUGGUUCGCAUUAAUGCAUACAUGGUUCUGUCUUUAAUAUACGAUAUCUUCUACAAACUAAUAUUUGCCUACUAUAGAAUGUUGUGGAGACGGAAACCUUCUACAAGCUGAAUACCUUGAGCUUGAUGAAGAAGCUAGGAUGUUCGCCCACCAAGGUACAUUAUUGCUAUGAUGAGUUACCAUAUAAUAUAAUAUUGUCAUUUCUAUAACAAAUGGUGCCUGAAUAUUCAAAUUUUGUUCCAGAUAUUGAGUUUGAAUCCUACCGAGUUGAACAACGUCACACUGAUGGAACACACACAAAUGAUCCUCAUGCUAUGGUGUACAUGAACCUAUCCAAAAAUCACCACGUCCUUAGAAAAGUUAGGGACUGCCUCCACUGUGGAGCAUUGUGGUUUCAGUAUGAGGGACCUGCAUUUUGUUGCAGAAAGGGGAAAGUAGGUUUGUUUACACCUGAGGUUCCGGAUGAGUUGAAACGGCUGUUCACAAGUCAAGGUGAUGACGAUGCUAAAUAUUUUUGAGACAACAUACGGUAUUUGAACUCUCACUUCUCAUUCACAAGUCUUGGAGUCACCCUUGAUCAUCGAGUAAGCACUGCGGCAGGAACCGGCGUAUAUACCUUUCGUGCAUGUGGGGGGUUGUACCACGCUCUUGAUGAUCUGGUGCCGGCUGAUAAUGGUCCUAGGCAUUUGCAGCUCUAUAUUUAUGAUACAGAUCAUAACUUGGUGCACAUGGCUAAGAGGUCUCCAGAUCUGAAUAUAGAACUCAUACGUAAAACUCUGCUAAUACUAGAGCCGAACCCUUAUGCACGGGCUUUCAAGAGCCUUGGGUCCAUUCCAAAUCUAGAUAAGUACAAGAUCUCACUAAACACAGAUAUCAAGUUGGAUCAAUGUAGGUAUAAUGCCCCAACGACUUCUCAGGUGGCAGCUAUAUGGGUUGAAGGGAGCGACCCACAAAAUUGUUUUGACAGGAGUGUUGUUGUGCAUGGCAAAAAAGGCGACCGGGCCCUGUACAUUAGAGCAUACUAUGGGUGCUAUGAUCCAUUGUCAUAUCCACUAUUUUUCCCACGUGGGGAGACAGGUUGGAAUCGCUAGAUGCCAUAUGUUCAGGAACACAAUGACACAAACCAAUAUCCGGCGCAUUAUUCAGAUCUGCAAGAAAACCGGGCCUCUGAAUUACAUACAGGUAUUUUAUUCAUUAUUGUUGUGUUAUCUACAUACUAUCUUUAUAAAUAUAAUAACAUUUGUCUUUGUCCACCUAUCAAGCAGAUGAAAACUUGAUGGGUGGAAGGGAACAAGUUGGCAACUUUGGGCCAGAUGAAGACCGAGUCACUGAUUUACAUGCAGGUAUGAUGUUCAUUAUUAAAUUGUUAUGGCAUUAUCUACUUACUGUGUUGGUGAAUAAAAACUUAUGUCUUGCUCCCGCAACAAAACAGAACAUAAUUUGAUUAAUGAAAGGGAACAAGUUGGGAAUUUUGUUCCAGAUGAAGACCAUGCCAAUGAUUUACAUGCAGGUGCCGGUCAUUAUAGUGUACCACUUAUUCUUAAUAAACAAAUCUUAUGUUGUCAAUCAUUAUGAUUCCAGCCAUUAUACUUGUAUUUAUAUUCGAUAUUGUAGAUGAUAAUGAGGAUAACCAAGAUGAGGAUUUUGGUGACAAUGAGGUGGAUGCAACACAAUCCAGGAAAUUUGUUAGUGCGAGGGAGUACUACUGCUUCAAGCUACAGGUCAGGAAGAAGCUUUUUAACAUCGUCUUGUUCGGUGGACGCCUUUUCCAACAGUGGGCUGUUGACAUGUAUAUCAAGAUUGAGACUAUGAGGCUGGACUGGUACUCAAAGCCAGAGAAUCAAAAGGUUAUACGAGCUGACCUCUACUAGGUAUCGUGCUUGCGUUUAUACUAAUACAUCCUACUACAUCAACAUUUUGAAAAACAUGCCUUUUCCAUGACCAAGUAUACUGUUACAGGGUCUUGUUGACACCAUCGUUGCCGGCGAGUCACGUGGUGAUCGGAUUGGUAAGAGAAUCGUGCUUCCACGCAUGUUUCCUGGUGGUGAUCGCGACAUGCAGCGAAGGUUCCUCGAUGCAAUGGCAAUAGUCCAACGGUGGGGUAAACCGGAUUAUUUUAUCACGAUGACUUGCAAUCCCUACUGGGAGGAGAUAACACUUAAUCUGACGCCUGGACAACUGCCACAAGACCGUCUAGACCUGGUGGCAAGGGUAUACAGGGCUAAACAGCGAGAUAUGAUGGACUUGCUAAUUAAGGGUAAGCAUUUCGGACAAGUCGCAGCUUAUGUACAUGUCACAGAGUUUCAGAAACGAGGCCUCCCUCAUGAGCAUAUACUUUUAAUCAUGAAAGCAAAUAGCAAGUUGGCAACCCCGGAUGACUAUGAUUGGGUGAUAUCCGCAGAGAUACCUGACAAAGAAAAACACCCAGUUCUGCAUGAGCUGUUCGUCAAACACAUGCUACACGGACCCUGUGGUGAGUUGAAAAAAAGUUGUCCGUGCAUGAUUGAUGGACAAUGUAGGUUCCAUUAUCCGCGAGAUUUUUGUGAUGCCACACAAGGGAGAGACACUUAUCCCAUCUAUCGGAGGAGGGACGAUGGGCAUGGAGUUAGGAUCAGAGGAGCCAAUUUGGACAAUAGAUGGGUGGUCCCUUACAACCCUUGUCUGCUUAUGCGAUACAACUGCCACAUUAAUGUUGAAGCAUGCUCGAGCAUCAAGGCAGUGAAGUAUUUGUUCAAGUACAUCUAUAAAGGCCAUGAUCGGACGUCAUUUGCUUUUGAGCAGGACAUAAUCAAUGAUGGUGGAAUCAUCAAUGAAAUCCGACAAUAUAGGGAUGCACGCUAUGUAUCUCCUCCAGAGGCUAUUUACAGGAUUUUUGGUUUUAAAAUGUUUGGUGUCAGUCCAUCAGUGCUGCAGCUCCAACUUCAUUUGCCAAAUAUGCAUACAAUUGCAUUUAAAUCUGGUGAAAAUCUAGAAGAUGUUGUCGCUCGACCAUCUUCAUCUAGGUCCAUGCUUACCGAGUACUUUGAGAUGAACCGGAAGAUUCCGCAAGCACGGAAAUUGUUGUACAGAGAGUUUCCAGAGCAUUAUAGAUGGAUAGCUGGAAAAAAGAAGUGGCAGAAGAGAAGAAAUAACAGAUCGCAGAUUGGAAGACUUGUCUACGCACACCCUGCUGAAGGAGAGAGGUACUACUUGCGUGUGUUGCUAAGUCAUGUCCGAGGUGCCACUUCAUUUGAUGAUUUAAAAACAGUAAAUGGCAACAUGUGCACUUCCUUUAGAGAGGCAUGUGAACACUUAGGCCUCAUUGAGCACGACAAGACUCUUGAUGAUUGCAUGACAGAGGCGGCCACAUUUCAGAUGCCUUGUGCCCUAAGACGGUUGUUUGCGGCUAUAUUGGUUUUUUGCGAGGCAACAGAAAUCCGACAAUUGUGGGAGAAACAUCUACCAUCAAUGUGUGAGGAUUACCGUCUUAAUGAAUCAAAUGAGUCAAUACUUGAGCAGAUGGUCCUUAGAGAUAUUACGGAUAUGUUGCAAUCCAUGGGAAAGGAUAUUAAAAACUAUGGACUUCCGGAUCUGGUAGAGACCGAUGGUUCUUAUGACGGUGAGUACAGAGAGGUAACAGAAGAGAGGCAAAUCACCGCGGACAUAGAACAUCUAGAUCUAUUUAGCAGUGCAGUUGGCUGGUUUCAAUGACAUAAUGGAUCAUGUGAUGAACAAAAAAGCCAGAUAUUCUUUGUUGAUGGUCCAGGAGGCACUGGGAAGACGUACCUGUACAAGGCAUUGCUUGCUAAGGUGCGUUCCAUGGGCCAAAUGGCGAUUGCAACUGCUACAUCUGGUAUUGCAGCAUCGAUAAUGCCUGGAGGACGGACAUCACACUCUCGGUUCAAAAUACCAAUCAAGCUCACUGACAAUAGUAUGUGCAGUUUUGAAGGAAAUAUGCCCUAGAGGCAAUAAUAAAGUUAUUAUUUAUUUCCUUAUAUCAUGAUAAAUGUUUAUUAUUCAUGCUAGAAUUGUAUUAACCGGAAACAUAAUACAUGUGUGAAUACAUAGACAAACUAAGUGUCACUAGUAUGCCUCUACUUGACUAGCUCGUUAAUCAAAGAUGGUUAUGUUUCCUAACCAUGAAAAAAGUGUUGUUAUUUGAUUAACGAGGUCACAUCAUUAGUUGAAUGAUCUGAUUGACAUGACCCAUUCCAUUAGCUUAGCACCCUAUCGUUUAGUAUGUUGCUAUUGCUUUCUUCAUGACUUAUACAUGUUCCUAUAACUAUGAGAUUAUGCAACUCCCGUUUGCCGGAGGAACACUUUGUGUGCUACCAAAUGUCACAACGUAACUGGGUGAUUAUAAAGGAGCUCUACAGGUGUCUCCAAUGGUAGAUGUUGGGUUGGCGUAUUUCGAGAAUAGGAUUUGUCACUCCGAUUGUCGGAGAGGUAUCUCUGGGCCCUCUCGGUAGUACACAUCACAUAAUCCUUGCAAGCAUUGCAACUAAUGAGUUAGUUGCGGGAUGAUGUAUUACAGAACGAGUAAAGAGACUUGCCAGUAAUAAGAUUGAACUAGGUAUUGGAUACCGACGAUCGAAUCUCGGGCAAGUAACAUAACGAUGACAAAGGGAACAACGUAUGUUGUUAUGCGAUCUGACCGAUAAAGAUCUUCGUAGAAUAUGUAGGAGCCAAUAUGGGCAUCCAGGUCCCGCUAUUGGUUAUUGACCGGAGAUGUGUCUCAGUCAUGUCUGCAUUGUUCUCGAACCGUAGGGUCCGCACGCUUAACGUUACGAUGACAGUUAUUAUGAGUUUAUGCAUUUUGAUGUACUGAAGUUAGUUCGGAGUCCCGGAUGUGAUCACGGACAUGACGAGGAGUCUCGAAAUGGUCGAGACAUAAAGAUUGAUAUAUUGGAAGCCUAUAUUUGGACAUCGGAAUUGUUCCGGGUGAAAUCGGCAUUUUACCGGAGUACCGGGGGGUUACCGGAACCCCCCCCCCCCCCCGGGGGGUCACUGGGCCUACAUGGGCCUUAAGGGAGAAGAGGAGAGGAGGCAAGAGGUGGCCGCACGCCCCUCCCCUUCCUAGUACGAAUAGGACAAGGGAAGGGGGGCGGCGCCCCCCCCUUUCCUUCCUCUGUUCCUCCUAUUUCCCCCCUCUCUCUCCUAGUCCAACUAGGAGUCCUACUCCCGGUGGGAGUAGGACUCCCCUUGGCGCGCCACACCCUGGCCGGCCGCCUCCUCCCCUUGCUCCUUUAUAUACGGGGCAGGGGGGCACCUCUAGACACACAAGUUGAUCCACGUGAUCGUUCCUUAGCCGUGUGCGGUGCCCCCUGCCAUCAUAUUCCACCUCGAUCAUAUUGUAGCGGUGCUUAGGUGAAGCCCUGCGACAGUAGAACAUCAAGAUCGUCACCACGCCGUCGUGCUGACGAAACUCUUCCCCGACGCUUUGCUGGAUCGGAGCCCGGGGAUCGUCAUCGAGCUGUACGUGUGCUAAGAACUCGGAGGUGCCGGAGUAACGGUGCUUGGAUCGGUCGGAUCGGGAAGACGUACGACUACUUCCUCUACGUUGUGUCAACGCUUCCGCAGUCGGUCUGCGUGGGUACGUAGACAACACUCUCCCCUCUUGUUGCUAUGCAUCACCAUGAUCUUGCGUGUGCGUAGGAAGUUUUUUGAAAUUACUGCGUUCCCCAACAGUGGCAUCCGAGCCUAGGUUUUAUGGUUUGAUGUUAUAUGCACGAGUAGAACACAAGUGAGUUGUGGGCGAUAUAAGUCAUACUGCCUACCAGCAUGUCAUACUUUGCUUCGGCGGUAUUGUUGGAUGAGACGACCCGGACCGACAUUUCGCGUAUGCUUACGCGAGACCGGUUCUCCCGACGUGCUUUGCACAUAGGUGGCUUGCGGGCGACAGUCUCUCGAACUUUAGUUGAACCAAGUGUGGCUACGCCCGGUCCUUGCGAAGGUUAAAGCGGAGUCUAUUUGACAAACUAUCGUUGUGGUUUUGAUGCGUAGGUGAGAUUGGUUCUUGCUUAAGCCCGUAGCAGCCACGUAAAACAUGCAACAACAAAGUAGAGGACGUCUAACUUGUUUUUGCAGGGCAUGUUGUGAUGUGAUAUGGUCAAGACAUGAUGCUAAAUUUUAUUGUAUGAGAUGAUCAUGCUUUGUAACCGAGUUAUCGGCAACUGGCAGGAGCCAUAUGGUUGUCGCUUUAUUGUAUGCAAUGCAAUCGCGAUGUAAUGCUUUACUUUAUCACUAAGUGGUAGCGAUAGUCGUGGAAGCAUAAGAUUGGCGAGACGACAACGAUGCAACGAUGGAGAUCAAGGUGUCGCGCCGGUGACGAUGGUGAUCAUGAUGGUGCUUCGGAGAUGGAGAUCACAAGCACAAGAUGAUGAUGGCCAUAUCAUAUCACUUAUAUUGAUUGCAUGUGAUGUUUAUCUUUUUUAUGCAUCUUAUCUUGCUUUGAUUGACGGUAGCAUUAUAAGAUGAUCUCUCACUAAAUUAUCAAGAAGUGUUCUCCCUGAGUAUGCACCAUUGCGAAAGUUCUUCGUGUUGAGACACCACGUGAUGAUCGGGUGUGAUAGGUUCUACGUUCAAAUACAACGGGUGCAAAACAGUUGCACACGCGGAAUACUCAGGUUAUACUUGACGAGCCAAGCAUAUACAGAUAUGGCCUCGGAACACGGAGACCGAAAGGUCGAGCGUGAAUCAUAUAGUAGAUAUGAUCAACAUAGCGAUGUUCACCAAUGAAACUUCUCCAUCUCAUGUGAUGAUCGGACAUGGUUUAGUUGAUUUGGAUCACGUGAUCACUUAGAGGAUUAGAGGGAUGUCUAUCUAAGUGGGAGUUCUUAAGUAAUUUGAUUAAAUGAACUUAAACUUAUCAUGAACUUAGUACCUGAUAGUAUCUUGCUUGUUUAUGUUGAUUGUAGAUAGAUGGCUUGUGCUGUUGUUCCGUUGAAUUCUAAUGCGUUCCUCGAGAAAGCAAAGUUGAAAGAUGAUGGUAGUAAUUACACGGACUGGGUCCGUAACUUGAGGAUUAUCCUCAUUGCUGCUCAGAAGAAUUACAUCCUAGAAGCACCGCUGGGUGCCAGGCCUGCUGCUGGAGCAACACCAGAUGUUAUGGACGUCUGGCAGAGCAAAGCUGAUGACUACUCGAUAGUUCAGUGUGCCAUGCUUUACGGCUUAGAAUCGGGACUUCAACGACGUUUUGAAUGUCAUGGAGCAUAUGAGAUGUUCCAGGAGUUGAAGUUAAUAUUUCAAGCAAAUGCCCGGAUUGAGAGAUAUGAAGUCUCCAAUAAGUUCUAUAGCUGCAAGAUGGAGGAGAACAGUUCUGUCAGUGAGCAUAUACUCAAAAUGUCUGGGUAUAAUAAUUACUUGAUUCAGAUGGGAGUUAAUCUUCCAGAUGAUUGCGUCAUUGACAGAAUUCUCCAAUCACUACCACCAAGCUACAAGAGCUUCGUGAUGAACUAUAAUAUGCAAGGGAUGAACAAGACUAUUCCCGAGCUCUUCGCAAUGCUGAAAGCUGCGGAGGUAGAAAUCAAGAAGGAGCAUCAAGUGUUGAUGGUUAACAAGACCACUAGUUUCAAGAAAAAGGGCAAAGGGAAGAAGAAAGGGAACUUCAAGAAGAACGGCAAGCAAGUUGCUGCUCAGGAGAAGAAACCCAAGUCUGGACCUAAGCCUAAAACUGAGUGCUUCUACUGCAAGCAGACUGGUCACUGGAAGCGGAACUGCCCCAAAUAUUUGACAGAUAAGAAGGAUGGCAAGGUGAACAAAGGUAUAUGUGAUAUACAUGUUAUUGAUGUGUACCUUACUAAUGCUCGCAGUAGCACCUGGGUAUUUGAUACUGGUUUUGUUGCUAAUAUUUGCAACUCGAAACAGGGACUACGGAUUAAGCGAAGAUUGGCUAAGGACGAGGUGACGAUGCGCGUGGGAAACGGUUCCAAAGUCGAUGUGAUCGCGGUCGGCACGCUACCUCUACAUCUACCUUCGGGAUUAGUAUUAGAGCUAAAUAAUUGUUAUUUGGUGCCAGCGUUGAGCAUGAACAUUAUAUCUGGAUCUUGUUUAAUGCGAGAUGGUUAUUCAUUUAAAUCAGAGAAUAAUGGUUGUUCUAUUUAUAUGAGUAAUAUCUUUUAUGGUCAUGCACCCUUGAAGAGUGGUCUAUUCUUAUUGAAUCUCGAUAGUAGUGAUACACAUAUUCAUAAUGUUGAAGCCAAAAGAUGCAGAGUUGAUAAUGAUGGUGCAACUUAUUUGUGGCACUACCGUUUAGGUCAUAUCGGUGUAAAACGCAUGAAGAAACUCCAUAUUGAUGGACUUUUGGAACCUCUUGAUUAUGAAUCACUUGGUACUUGUGAAACGUGCCUCAUGGGCAAGAUGACUAAAACACUGUUCUCUGGUACUAUGGAGAGAGCAACAGAUUUGUUGGAAAUCAUACAUACAGAUGUAUGUGGUCCGAUGAAUGUUGAGGCUCGUGCCGGAUAUCGUUAUUUUCUCACCUUCACAGAUGACUUAAGCAGAUAUGGGUAUAUCUACUUAAUGAAACAUAAGUCUGAAACAUUUGAAAAGUUCAAAGAAUUUCAGAGUGAAGUUGAAAAUCAUCGUAACAAGAAAAUAAAGUUCCUACGACCUGAUCGUGGAGGAGAAUAUUUGAGUUACGAGUUUGGUGUACAUUUGAAAAAUUGUGGAAUAGUUUCGCAACUCACGCCACCCGGAACACCACAGCGUAAUGGUGUGUCCGAACGUCGUAAUCGUACUUUACUAGAUAUGGUGCGAUCUAUGAUAUCUCUUACCAAUUUACCGCUAUCGUUUUGGGGAUAUGCUCUAGAGACGGCCGCAUUCACGUUAAAUAGGGCACCAUCAAAAUCCGUUGAGAUGACGCCUUAUGAACUGUGGUUUGGAAAGAAACCAAAGUUGUCGUUUCUGAAAGUUUGGGGCUGCGAUGCUUAUGUGAAAAAGCUUCAACCUGAUAAGCUCGAACCCAAAUCGGAGAAAUGUGUCUUCAUAGGAUAUCCAAAGGAAACUAUUGGAUACACCUUCUAUCACAAAUCCGAAGGCAAGACUUUUGUUGCUAAAUUCGGAAACUUUCUGGAGAAGGAGUUUCUCUCGAAAGAAGUGAGUGGGAGGAAAGUAGAACUUGACGAGGUAACUGUACCUUCUCCCUUAUUGAAAAGUAGUACAUCACAGAAAACUGUUUCAGUGACACCUACACCAGUUAAUGAGGAAGCUAAUGAUAAUGAUCAUGAAACUUCAGAUCAAGAUACUACUGAACCUCGUAGAUCAACCAGAGUGAGAUCCGCGCCAGAGUGGUACGGUAAUCCAGUUCUGGAAGUCAUGCUACUAGAUCAUGAUGAACCUACGAACUAUGAAGAAGCGAUGGUGAGCCCAGAUUCCGCAAAGUGGCUUGAAGCCAUGAAAUCUGAGAUGGGAUCCAUGUAUGAGAACAAAGUAUGGACUUUGGUUGACUUGCCCGAUGAUCGGCAAGCAAUUGAGAAUAAAUGGAUCUUCAAGAAGAAGACUGACGCUGACGGUAAUGUUACUGUCUACAAAGCUCGACUUGUCGCAAAAGGUUUUCGACAAGUUCAAGGGGUUGACUACGAUGAGACCUUCUUACCCGUAGCGAUGCUUAAGUCUGUCCGAAUCAUGUUAGCAAUUGCCGCAUUUUAUGAUUAUGAAAUUUGGCAAAUGGAUGUAAAAACUGCAUUCCUGAAUGGAUUUCUAGAAGAAGAGUUGUAUAUGAUGCAACUGGAAGGUUUUGUCGAUCCAAAGGGAGCUAACAAAGUGUGCAAGCUCCAGCGAUCCAUUUAUGGACUGGUGCAAGCCUCUCGGAGUUGGAAUAAACGCUUUGAUAGUGUGAUCAAAGCAUUUGGUUUUAUACAGACUUUCGGAGAAGCCUGUAUUUACAAGAAAGUGAGUGGGAGCUCUGUAGCAUUUUUGAUAUUAUAUGUGGAUGACAUAUUACUGAUUGGAAAUGACAUAAAAUUUCUGGAUAGCAUAAAGGGAUACUUGAAUAAGAGUUUUUCAAUGAAAGACCUCGGUGAAGCUGCUUACAUAUUAGGCAUAAAGAUCUAUAGAGAUAGAUCAAGACGCUUAAUUGGACUUUCACAAAGCACAUACGUUGACAAGAUUUUGAAGAAGUUCAAAAUGGAUCAAGCAAAGAAAGGGUUCUUGCAUGUGUUACAAGGUGUGAAGUUGAGUCAGACUCAAUGCCCGACCACUGCAGAAGAUAGAGAGAAAAUGAAAGAUGUUCCCUAUGCUUCAGCCAUAGGCUCUAUCAUGUAUGCAAUGCUGUGUACCAGACCUGAUGUGUGCCUUGCUAUAAGUUUAGCAGGGAGGUACCAAAGUAAUCCAGGAGUGGAUCACUGGACAGCGGUCAAGAACAUCCUGAAAUACCUGAAAAGGACUAAGGAUAUGUUUCUCGUAUAUGGAGGUGACAAAGAGCUCACCGUAAAAGGUUACAUUGAUGCAAGCUUUGACACUGAUCCGGACGAUUCUAAAUCGCAAACCGGAUACGUGUUUACAUUAAACGGUGGAGCUGUCAGUUGGUGCAGUUCUAAACAAAGCGUCGUAGCGGGAUCUACAUGUGAAGCAGAGUACAUAGCUGCUUCGGAAGCAGCAAACGAAGGAGUCUGGAUGAAGGAGUUCAUAUCCGAUCUAGGUGUUAUACCUAGUGCAUUGGGUCCAAUGAAAAUCUUUUGUGACAAUACUGGUGCAAUUGCCUUGGCAAAGGAAUCUAGAUUUCACAAGAGAACCAAGCACAUCAAGAGACGCUUCAAUUCCAUCCGGGAUCUAGUCCAGGUGGGAGACAUAGAGAUUUGCAAGAUACAUACGGAUCUGAAUGUUGCAGACCCGUUGACUAAGCCUCUUCCACGAGCAAAACAUGAUCAGCACCAAGGCUCCAUGGGUGUUAGAAUCAUUACUGUGUAAUCUAGAUUAUUGACUCUAGUGCAAGUGGGAGAUUUUUGUGAUUGAUGGACAAUGUAGGUUCCAUUAUCCGCGAGAUUUUUGUGAUGCCACACAACAAGGGAGAGACUCUUAUCCCAUCUAUCGGAGGAGGGACAAUGGGCAUGGAGUUAGGAUCAGAGGAGCCAAUUUGGACAAUAGAUGGGUGGUCCCUUACAACCCUUGUCUGCUUAUGCGAUACAACUGCCACAUUAAUGUUGAAGCAUGCUCGAGCAUCAAGGCAGUGAAGUAUUUGUUCAAGUACAUCUAUAAAGGCCAUGAUCGAACGUCAUUUGCUUUUGAGCAGGACAUAAUCAAUGAUGGUGGAAUCAUCAAUGAAAUCCGACAAUAUAGGGAUGCACGCUAUGUAUCUCCUCCAGAGGCUAUUUACAGGAUUUUUGGUUUUAAAAUGUUUGGUGUCAGUCCAUCAGUGCUGCAGCUCCAACUUCAUUUGCCAAAUAUGCAUACAAUUGCAUUUAAAUCUGGUGAAAAUCUAGAAGAUGUUGUCGCUCGACCAUCUUCAUCUAGGUCCAUGCUUACCGAGUACUUUGAGAUGAACCGGAAGAUUCCGCAAGCACGGAAAUUGUUGUACAUAGAGUUUCCAGAGCAUUAUAGAUGGAUAGCUGGAAAAAAGAAGUGGCAGAAGAGAAGAAAUAACAGAUCACAGAUUGGAAGACUUGUCUACGCACACCCUGCUGAAGGAGAGAGGUACUACUUGCGUGUGUUGCUAAGUCAUGUCCGAGGUGCCACUUCAUUUGAUGAUUUAAAAAUAGUAAAUGACAACAUGUGCACUUCCUUUAGAGAGGCAUGUGAACACUUAGGCCUCAUUGAGCACGACAAGACUCUUGAUGAUUGCAUGAUAGAGGCGGCCACAUUUCAGAUGCCUUGUGCCCUAAGACGGUUGUUUGCGGCUAUAUUGGUUUUUUGCGAGGCAACAGAAAUCCGACAAUUGUGAGAGAAACAUCUACCAUCAAUGUGUGAGGAUUACCGUCUUAAUGAAUCAAAUGAGUCAAUACUUGAGCAGAUGGUCCUUAGAGAUAUUAGGGAUAUGUUGCAAUCCAUGGGAAAGGAUAUUAAAAACUAUGGACUUCCGGAUCUGGUAGAGACCGAUGGUUCUUAUGACGGUGAGUACAGAGAGGUAACAGAAGAGAGGCAAAUCACCGCGGACAUAGAACAUCUAGAUCUAUUUAGCAGUUUGAACAAUGAGCAGUUGGCUGGUUUCAAUGACAUAAUGGAUCAUGUGAUGAACAAAAAAGCCAGAUAUUCUUUGUUGAUGGUCCAGGAGGCACUGGGAAGACGUACCUGUACAAGGCAUUGCUUGCUAAGGUGCGUUCCAUGGGCCAAAUGGCGAUUGCAACUGCUACAUCUGGUAUUGCAGCAUCGAUAAUGCCUGGAGGACGGACAACACACUCUCGGUUCAAAAUACCAAUCAAGCUCACUGACAAUAGUAUGUGCAGUUUUGAAGGAAAUAUGCCCUAGAGGCAAUAAUAAAGUUAUUAUUUAUUUCCUUAUAUCAUGAUAAAUGUUUAUUAUUCAUGCUAGAAUUGUAUUAACCGGAAACAUAAUACAUGUGUGAAUACAUAGACAAACUAAGUGUCACUAGUAUGCCUCUACUUGACUAGCUCGUUAAUCAAAGAUGUUUAUGUUUCCUAACCAUGAAAAAAGUGUUGUUAUUUGAUUAGCGAGGUCACAUCAUUAGUUGAAUGAUCUGAUUGACAUGACCCAUUCCAUUAGCUUAGCACCCGAUCGUUUAGUAUGUUGCUAUUGCUUCUUCAUGACUUAUACAUGUUCCUAUAACUAUGAGAUUAUGCAACUCCCGUUUGCCGGAGGAACACUUUGUGUGCUACCAAACGUCACAACAUAACUGGGUGAUUAUAAAGGAGCUCUACAGGUGUCUCCAAUGGUAGAUGUUGGGUUGGCGUAUUUCGAGAAUAGGAUUUGUCACUCCGAUUGUCGGAGAGGUAUCUCUGGGCCCUCUCGGUAAUACACAUCACAUAAGCCUUGCAAGCAUUGCAACUAAUGAGUUAGUUGCGGGAUGAUGUAUUACAGAACAAGUAAAGAGACUUGCCAGUAACGAGAUUGAACUAGGUAUUGGAUACCGACGAUCGAAUCUCGGGCAAGUAACAUACCGAUGACAAAGGGAACAACAUAUGUUGUUAUGCGGUCUGACCGAUAAAGAUCUUCGUAGAAUAUGUAGGAGCCAAUAUGGGCAUCCAGGUCCCGCUAUUGGUUAUUGACCGGAGAUGUGUCUCAGUCAUGUCUGCAUUGUUCUCGAACCGUAGGGUCCGCACGCUUAACGUUACGAUGACAGUUAUUAUGAGUUUAUGCAUUUUGAUGUACCGAAGUUAGUUCGGAGUCCCGGAUGUGAUCACGGACAUGACGAGGAGUCUCGAAAUGGUCGAGACAUAAAGAUUGAUAUAUUGGAAGCCUAUAUUUGGACAUCGGAAUUGUUCCGGGUGAAAUCGGCAUUUUACCGGAGUACCGGGGGGUUACCGGAACCCCCCCGGGGGUCAUUGGGCCUACAUGGGCCUUAAGGGAGAAGAGGAGAGGAGGCAAGAGGUGGCCGCACGCCCCUCCCCUUCCUAGUACGAAUAGGACAAGGGAAGGGGGGCGGCGCCCCCCCCCCCCUUUCCUUCCUCUCUUCCUCCUAUUUCCCCCCUCUCUCUCCUAGUCCAACUAGGAGUCCUACUCCCGGUGGGAGUAGGACUCCCCUUGGCGCGCCACACCCUUGCCGGCCGGCUCCUCCCCUUGCUCCUUUAUAUACGGGGCAGGGGGGCACCUCUAGACACACAAGUUGAUCCACGUGAUCGUUCCUUAGCUGUGUGCGGUGCCCCCUGCCAUCAUAUUCCACCUCGAUCAUAUUGUAGCUGUGCUUAGGCGAAGCCCUGUGACAGUAGAACAUCAAGAUCGUCACCACGCCGUCGUGCUGACGAAACUCUUCCCCGACGCUUUGCUGGAUCGGAGCCCGGGGAUCGUCAUCGAGCUGUACGUGUGCUAAGAACUCGGAGGUGCCGGAGUAACGGUGCUUGGAUCGGUCGGAUCGGGAAGACGUACGACUACUUGCUCUACGUUGUGUCAACGCUUCCGCAGUCGGUCCGCGUGGGUACGUAGACAACACUCUCCCCUCUUGUUGCUAUGCAUCACCAUGAUCUUACGUGUGCGUAGGAAAUUUUUUGAAAUUACUGCGUUCCCCAACAAGUUUCACAAAACAAAGUGGUACAACGGAGUUGCUUAGACAGGCGUCCUUGAUAAUUUGGGACAAAGUCGCUAUGACAAAACGUCAAGCAGUUGAGACGCUUGAUAGAUCACUACAGGAUAUAAUGGAAUGUUCUUUGCCGUUUGGAGGAAAGGUUGUCGUCUUUGGUGGUGAUUUCAGGCAGGUCCUACCCGUUGUGAGACGUGUGACAAGAGCGCAGAUCACGGAUGCUACACUUCUGAGAUCCUAUCUUUGGGAGAAGACCCGCAAGAUACGUCUCACACGCAAUAUGCGGGCACAGGCUGAUCCUUGGUUCUCGGAAUACCUCCUAAGGAUAGGCAAUGGAACUGAAGAGACAAUUGGCGACGACUAUGUCCGUCUCCCUGACGACAUUGUCAUUGGCUAUACCGAGGAUGAAAAAGCUAUUAACAUGCUCAUCGAAGAUGUCUUCCCAUCGUUGCAUGCCAAUGCUACAUCCAGAAAGUACAUGAGUGCACGUGCUAUUCUAUCGACCAAGAACGAUCAUGUCGAUGACCUGAAUGACAAGAUGAUCUCCAGGUUUCCAGGUGAAGAAAAGUUAUACCAUAGUUUUGACUCAAUCGAGGAUGACCUACAGAAUAAUUACACAAUUGAUUUUUUGAACUCGAUCACACCAAAUGGCUUGCCCCCACAUGUUUUGAAAUUAAAGGUCAACUGCCCGGUCAUUCUGCUAUGGAACCUCGACCCUCAUAAUGGUCUAUGCAAUGGAACACGGCUUAUGAUCAGAGCCUUUCAGGAUAAUGCAAUCGAUGCAGAGAUUGUUGGUGGUCAGUAUGCUGGAAAGAGGGUGUUUAUACCUAGGAUCCCUAUGUCGCCCUCGGAGGACAUCUCACUUCCUUUCAAACUUAAGAGAAAACAGUUCCCCAUCCGUCUGAGUUUUGCGAUGACAAUUAACAAGGCACAGGGUCAGACCAUCCCAAAUGUUGGCAUUUACCUUCUCGAGCCAGUAUUCUCACAUAGUCAGCUAUAUGUUGCAUUGUCAAGAGGAGUGUCGAGAGAGACAACAUGGAUUUUGGCCAAGCCAAACAAGGAUGUCGAUAAAUUCGGGAAAAGCACCAAGAACAUUGUCUACAAAGAUGUUUUGGAGAGAUGAGGCAAGUGCAUUAUUCCAAUAUUUCUUUUCCCCUACCAUGUUUGUGUUGAAAACCAACUUAUGAAAGAAGCUCCUUAGAAGUUUAUCAUUUUAGUAGCCGUAAGUCCUGCCAUGCACUAAUCACUUCAUAAUUUCUGCUGAUUCAGGGUUGACAAAUAUUUCGUGUUCAGGAGAAUUGAGGCUUUAAUGUGGUUAUAUUGGUCUCCAGAUGUGCCAACUUGUAAACCUAUUUCAAAUAGAAGAAGAUGGUGGAAUGAUGCCACGUCAUGGUGUCAGAUCAUCCAUAAUAAGGAACACUUUGUGUUGUAUAUUCUGUACUAUCUAAAUUUAGCAGCCAGAAUUCUGUUCUAUUAAAGAUGUUCUUGAACGCCUAAGUGCUAUGCUCUCUGAUAUAUUUGUAAUGAAAACUGGAAGAAUCUAUGACAUUCAUGGAAUAUAUUGAAGUUAAAAGGCGUUAUUACUACUAUGUUGCACAUAUGUUGUUCCCGAAUCUAUAGCAGAUGAGCUCACAUGCUUUGUUUUUACAGAAAAAAAUCGAAAGAAUAUACUAUAUAGAAUUCAGAAAAGAAGAUAAGGCAUGUAACAGGCUAAAAUGCUGGAUAACCACAGUGGGCGAGAAUACCUCCUCCAACAUGCGUCAAACCAGUUGAAAAUAUUCCUCCUAUUAGGAUUCCAGCUUCUUCAUCGAUUCACUAUGCUGCCCCUUGGCUAGCUUGCUCAUCACCAACACGUAGCAGGUACGCCGCCUGUUGGUAGUCCCCGCAGUUGCCUUAAUUUCAAAAACAAAAAAUUAAGUUUGAAAAAUAUUUAAAGGGUGUGCCUUCUCUGAAUUAUUACACAGCCUGUAGUUACAGAAGGAAGGUGGGCCACACCCAAUAUUUAUGCAGAUAAAAUGCACUACGGAAAUAACUCUAGUAAUUUUGGCAAACUGGGGUAUAAAAAAAGCACAAGAUAAGAUUCUGGGCGUCAGAUAAAUCCGGGGAUGAUAGCAAUCAGGAGUCCCCAAUUAUCGCGAUAGUAGUUUCCUUUCUCCCACGAUUCUGCCUUAUUUCCUUUCUCUCACGAUUAUGCCUUAUAUUUCCUGAUACCAUUACUUUAGACCCCUCCUCCACCCCCCUCACGAUCUCUCAGCCGCAUCCCAACAAACCGCCACAACAAGUCUCUCCACCGCGCCGCACACAUUAGCCCUUGGUGAAGCACCGUCAUCGUCCAUGUCGGCGCCAUCGUCAUCGAUGCCCCAUGCGGGUCAAUCUCCAACCAGAUCUGGUACUACUGCCGAUGCCAUCGACACGGUAAUGACAUAUUAUAUCUCUCUUCUUCCUAUACAAGGUUUUCUAUCUAGAAAUGUCAUGCUUGGGUUUUCAGGAAAACAUCAAUAAGGUAGCAAAGGAUGAGGAUAUAGAUAAUAUGCAGAUUGAAGAUGUAAAGAAAGACGAGGAUACAAACACCGAGGUGGCAGAGGUGAUACAAGAAGAAUCUACUAUGGAGGAUACAAAGAAUAUGCAGGUUGAAGAGGUGAUAACCGUACAAGAGGAUACAAAUCCCGACUCCACAAAGGCUACACAAGAGUCCAUUAGGGAGGGUCCACUAAACAUGCUUUUUGAUGCUGUGAUAACACAGGAUGGAUAUACAAUCCCCGAAUCAACAGAGGCAAGUUUUCUUUCCACAUGUCUAACGCCAAAGAUCAGUUUGUAAUUAUCUUAGUACAAUAUCAUUACAAAAAUAUAUUCACGCUCUUAUAAUAUUAUACUACCAUGGGUUUCAGCUACCUAGCGAUGACGAAACAAGUGAGAUACUCAACAAUAAUGAAGUGGAGGAAAAUAAUUGCAUGGAUAGCCCAGAAUAUACACCUAUUCUUGAAGAAAACAUAGCAAACAGAGAGGAUGAAGAUUCUGAGCAUACACAUGUGACUUUCCUUUUCCAACUAUAUCUUCCCAAAUUAUUCUAAUUAUAUUAUAUCCUACACAUGGGUAAUUCAUUCAAUAUUGUUCUCAGAAACUAACCCACAACGAAACAAGUCAACAAAUGGUGGCAGCUCAGGAUGAGGAAUUGGAACAAACACGGGACACGGAAGGGCUUCAGAUUAUAGAGGACGAGCUAACAAUGCUCGUGCAUAUAAAUAAACAUAAACGACGGCAUAACAAGCCUAAGAAGGCACAAGACUAUGUUGUUUCUCCACAAGGCACGGAACAAAACAUUCAAUGUCCUUGUACUGCUACAUUAUUGUUUUUGUGUUAUUAUCAUUACAUGUUAUCAUUGCCAUCGUGACAGAUUAUGCCUGCAGUGGCGAUGAUUGGUCUGUUAUAGAAAAUAUCCGGUCUGAACCAAGCAAAGAAAGAAAUUUAGUGAGCAUCGGCGACGCAUUUUUGAAAAAAAGACAUUUACUAUCUCUUCUAACUCCCGGAGAAUGGGUUGGCGACGAAGUGAGUAUAUUAUUAUUAUUAUCGCAUUACGACUAGAAGAUGCUAUUUGAUUAUCAGUAUGUGUCGUCUAAUAUACUAUGUAUGCUUUUAAUUGUAGGUCAUAAAUAUGUACAUAAAUUGCAUGACUGCUACGGAGCAUCUACAAGUAAGGUCAGGUGGAAGUGUGUUCUUAGAGAAUGCAUGCAUCUCAAAGAUGAUAAAGAUCGGUAGCUAUCUGCCCUCAGAUGACAUGGAUGCUGCACCAGCAUGGGUACUAAACAGAGCCAAAGCGUAUUUGGAAAAUGAUAUGGUUAGUCUUUGUGUCCUACAUAAUUGGAUGAAUUACAGCUACAAUGACCGAUUCAUCCACGUACGAGUACAACUAAAAUAAUCAUUUUCUUCAGGUAUACUUUCCAAUAAACAUGAAGGAUGUUCACUGGUACCUAUGUGUUAUAAAUUCCAGAAAAAAAUGUGUCCAGGUGCUCGACUCGCUAGGCCCAUACAUGAGCCGCAAGGACCUCACUGAUACGGUCUGCACUUCAUCCUACUGCCCCAUCUUUUCUAAUAAGCUUUUUUUUUCUUAUUUCUCACUUGUGAUGCUUAUACUUUUUCCAUUUUUUGGUACACCAGCUAGAAGGACUGGAGGAUUUAUUCAAAUAUGCAUCCAAGCACAUGGGAUUAAAAUCCGAUAAGUGGACUGAUCUAGAUGUUACAACACGGAAAAGAGAAGAAUAUAUUAAGAGCAGUCUUCAGAACGAUGGGUAUGCCUCCUAAUAUAACUCAGAGCAUUUAUGCUUAACAGGGUACAUUUGGUAUGCUAUUAUUUUUAUUUUUACCCUGCAUAGCAUUCCUAAAGCACAUUUGAUCAACAGAUUUGGUAUGCCAAUGCAAUUCUUUACCUUAUUGUAUGACAAUGCAAUUCACACAGCACCUCUCAUUAGAUCUGGCGUAUAUAAUGGUGCUCAAGGCGAUACAUUUCAUUAGGCUGCAUAUUAUACAUUUGAACAACGAAUAUGUUACUACACAUAUGGAAAGAAGCAGAUAUAUAGCAUACCUGUAUAUGUGUUCCGCUAACAAUCUUCCAAAUCUCUAUAUCCAAUGCAUCCAUGCCAACAUAGAGAAACAGAAACAUCUCACAAAUGAAUGACAAUGUGGUGAAGGUGCCUGUUGUGCAUACAAUGGCAUAAGCAUCAGCAAAGUUCAGAUGUCAAAGAAUGGACUCACAUGUAUUUCUGAUAGAAACAGUGCAGAUACCAACUUGGUUGCGACACUACAACGUCUCAAAAAGCAAAGACUCAACAUCAAUUAGAGCUAGCUGAUAGUGAAAAAUUAAGCCACCCAAUAUUCAAAUCCACAAAUUAAGAAGCUUUAUCACAACAUGGUUUCCUAAAAAAUGUCACCUGACUAAAUCCCCACUGAUAAUUGUAGGUGCAUUAACAACAUCUAAUCGAACAACAUACCUUCAGCAACCGAACACCUACGCGAGCUGCGAACUCCUUCCCGGAGAGACUGUGUGAGGUCGACGCACUGGAUCUCGGUCCAAUUCAAGAUGCCUGCUCCCGCAUCGUGUCCAGCAUCUCGCAUCUCGAUCUGCUCUGCGGCAGUAUGAUGGCGGCGGCAGAGUCGAUCUAGGGAAGAUCCACGGGGUUGGCGGCGAGACAAGUCCGCGGUGGUGAGAGGAGGCGGCGGGGCGAGGCCGUGGUGGGGAUAAGAGCCGGCGAGGCGAGGCCGUCGUGGGGAUAGGAGACGGGGUGAGGCCGUGGUGGUGGUGGUGGUGGUGCGGGGAGGGGGAGGGGGGCAGAAGACGUCGUGGCGGGAGAGGAUGCGCCCUGCUCGAGAGAAGGCAGCCGGCGGCGUGCGCCCUGCUCCACACAAGGCGGCCGGCGGCGUGCGGCGGAGAAAGCAAAGUGAGUGUCUCUCACCGUCUCACCACGCACACAUACUGUUGUGACAAGACGACUGCUCCACAUUAGUGU
rnacentral:lncRNA from 1 species